rnacentral:rRNA from 1 species
GGGGAAUAUUGGACAAUGGGCGCAAGCCUGAUCCAGCCAUGCCGCGUGAGUGAUGAAGGCCUUAGGGUUGUAAAGCUCUUUUGUCCGGGACGAUAAUGACGGUACCGGAAGAAUAAGCCCCGGCUAACUUCGUGCCAGCAGCCGCGGUAAUACGAAGGGGGCUAGCGUUGCUCGGAAUCACUGGGCGUAAAGGGCGCGUAGGCGGCCAUUCAAGUCGGGGGUGAAAGCCUGUGGCUCAACCACAGAAUUGCCUUCGAUACUGUUUGGCUUGAGUUUGGUAGAGGUUGGUGGAACUGCGAGUGUAGAGGUGAAAUUCGUAGAUAUUCGCAAGAACACCAGUGGCGAAGGCGGCCAACUGGACCAACACUGACGCUGAGGCGCGAAAGCGUGGGGAGCAAAC